UGGUGUGAUAGCGCGCUCCUAUAAAGAGGCUCCCUGAGCCGCGUUCCCUCUCUUUAUCUGUGCGGCGUCCUGGAGGACCGGCUAGGAGCUGGUCUUGUUAUGUUUCUUUAUUAGACGUGGGAUUGCUGGUUAAUUAGCUAGGUCAUUUUGAUAGGUAUUUGUAGCUGUUUUGUUAGUGGUUACCGUUUUGCCAUCUUGUGUUAUUGGCGUGUAUUUACCAAAUGGAAAUAUUAAGUGUUACCGAGCCGGUAUUUUUUUAUCUGUCGAUGGGGGGUGGCUAGUCGUCUGCCUGCCUAAUUUCCAGAUUCUUAAUCUGUAUUGAAUUCGUGUAAAUCGAAGAGGACGCGCUUCCUUGUCGAAGGCGAUCAAUGUGGGUUUUUAAACAGCGGCUCCACGUGUUUUAAGUGGCGUAAAAGAGUGUUUAUUUUUGCACAUGAAGUAUACGACUUUCCCCCUGAAAUAGCAGGUGUGCUUAUCCUUGUGUGACUUGCAUGGUAAAAUCCGUAUAAAAUAUACUAGCUGAUGGAUUCCAGAUGUCUUUCAUUGCCAAACGCGUGUUUGGUGCCCGCAGUGAGCGCUUGGUGGCGCGUCUGCGCGUUUUGGGCAAGUGAAGCUCAUCGCGUACGGUGCCCGGCUUGGAUAUAGUGUUCCUAGUGCUGUUCUAAGUUUAAUGGCUGGAUCGAUUGUUGUGUACCCGUUAACAGUUUCUCUCUUGCUCCUUUUAAAAGCACUGGUCUGCGUUUCCAGUCCACCGGCCCUACAUCAGCACUGUAGGUGCUGUGAAUCUGCGACCAGUGGGGUACAUGAGGAUUGCAACUUCUGCCACAUGUUAUGAUUCAUAACUAUAAAUAAAAUUACUGUCUUGUGAC